rnacentral:rRNA from 1 species
GCAUAUCAAUAAGCGGAGGAAAAGAAACUAACAAGGAUUCCCCUAGUAACGGCGAGUGAAGCGGGAUGAGCUCAAAUUUAAAAUCUGGCUGGUUUACUAGUCCGAAUUGUAGUUUAAAGAAGCGUUUUCGGUGGCAGCCUGGGUAUAAAUCCUUUGGAACAGGGUAUCAUAGAGGGUGAGAAUCCCGUCUUUGACUCAGUGCAUGCUACUAUGUGAUACGUUUUCAAAGAGUCGAGUUGUUUGGGAAUGCAGCUCUAAAUGGGUGGUAAAUUCCAUCUAAAGCUAAAUAUUGGCGAGAGACCGAUAGCGAACAAGUACCGUGAGGGAAAGAUGAAAAGAACUUUGAAAAGAGAGUUAAAUAGUACGUGAAAUUGUUGAAAGGGAAACGAUUGAAGUCAGUCGUACCGGCGGGAAAUCAGCUUCUCGAGUGGGGGUUCGCGGGUGCGUGGAGCUUCGGCCUUCGUCGCUUGUGACACCUUUUGCUUCUGGAGCGUACUUUUCCGUGUGGUAGGUCAACAUCGGUUUCGAUUGCCAUAAAAUGACCGGAGGAAUGUGGCUUCGAUCUUGUAUUGGAGUGUUAUAGCCUCUGGUAGAUGUGGUGGUUGGGAUCGAGGAUUGCAACGAAUACCCUUUGGGCUAUCCGCCUGACCUCUGAAAGUCGCUUGGGUACCGAAAGCUUGCUUACGGUCAUUCAAGUUGGCGGUCAAAAGGUUAGAACGUGAUUAAAUUCGUUAANGAUGUUGACGUA